GAUUGCAUCAGCUGGUCCAGCCGAGGCCAAGUCCCGGGCGCUAGCCCACCUCCCACCCGCCUCUUGGCUCCUCUCCUCUAGGCCGUCGCUUUCGGGUUCUCUCAUCGCUUCGUCGUUCGCCAAUGUUUGAGGAGAAGGCCAGCAGUCCUUCAGGGAAGAUGGGAGGCGAGGAGAAGCCGAUUGGUGCUGGUGAAGAGAAGCAAAAGGAAGGAGGCAAAAAGAAGAACAAAGAAGGAUCUGGAGAUGGAGGUCGAGCUGAGAGACUGACACAGAGGGUAUCUGCUGAAUGAAUGUUGAAGAGAUUUUGACACGAAAUUCUAAUUGGGACAUUGCAAGUGGCUAUGAUGAUAAACUGCAGUUAAGAUACAGAGGGUGGUGCAGUUGAAUCCUUGGCCUGAAUAUAUUUACACACGUCUUGAGAUGUAUAAUAUACUAAAAGCAGAACAUGAUUCCAUUCUGGCAGAAAAGGCAGAAAAAGAUAGCAAGCCAAUUAAAGUCACUUUGCCUGAUGGUAAACAGGUUGAUGCGGAAUCUUGGAAAACUACACCAUAUCAAAUUGCCUGUGGAAUUAGUCAAGGCCUGGCCGACAACACCGUUAUUGCUAAAGUAAAUAAUGUUGUGUGGGACCUGGACCGCCCUCUGGAAGAAGAUUGUACCUUGGAGCUUCUCAAGUUUGAGGAUGAGGAAGCUCAGGCAGUGUAUUGGCACUCUAGUGCUCACAUAAUGGGUGAAGCCAUGGAAAGAGUCUAUGGUGGAUGUUUAUGCUACGGUCCGCCAAUAGAAAAUGGAUUCUAUUAUGACAUGUACCUCGAAGAAGGGGGUGUGUCUAGCAAUGAUUUCUCUUCUCUGGAGGCUUUGUGUAAGAAAAUCAUUAAAGAAAAACAAGCUUUUGAAAGACUGGAAGUUAAGAAAGAAACUUUACUGGCAAUGUUUAAGUACAACAAGUUCAAAUGCCGGAUAUUGAAUGAAAAGGUGAAUACUCCAACUACCACAGUCUAUAGAUGUGGCCCUUUGAUAGAUCUCUGCCGGGGUCCUCAUGUUAGACACACGGGCAAAAUUAAGGCUUUAAAAAUACACAAAAAUUCCUCCACGUACUGGGAAGGCAAAGCAGAUAUGGAGACUCUCCAGAGAAUUUAUGGCAUUUCAUUCCCAGAUCCUAAAAUGUUGAAAGAGUGGGAGAAGUUCCAAGAGGAAGCUAAAAACCGAGAUCAUAGGAAAAUUGGCAGGGACCAAGAACUAUAUUUCUUUCAUGAACUCAGCCCUGGAAGUUGCUUUUUUCUGCCAAAAGGAGCCUACAUUUAUAAUGCACUUAUUGAAUUCAUUAGGAGCGAAUAUAGGAAAAGAGGAUUCCAGGAGGUAGUCACCCCAAACAUCUUCAACAGCCGACUCUGGAUGACCUCGGGCCACUGGCAGCACUACAGCGAGAACAUGUUCUCCUUUGAGGUGGAGAAGGAGCUGUUUGCCCUGAAACCCAUGAACUGCCCAGGACACUGCCUUAUGUUUGAUCAUCGGCCAAGGUCCUGGCGAGAACUGCCUCUGCGGCUAGCUGAUUUUGGGGUACUUCAUAGGAACGAGCUGUCUGGAGCACUCACAGGACUCACCCGGGUACGAAGAUUCCAACAGGAUGAUGCUCACAUAUUCUGUGCCAUGGAGCAGAUUGAAGAUGAAAUAAAAGGUUGUUUGGAUUUUCUACGUACGGUAUAUAGCGUAUUUGGAUUUUCUUUUAAACUAAACCUUUCUACUCGCCCGGAAAAAUUCCUUGGAGAUAUCGAAGUAUGGGAUCAAGCUGAGAAACAACUUGAAAACAGUCUGAAUGAAUUUGGUGAAAAGUGGGAGUUAAACUCUGGAGAUGGAGCUUUCUAUGGCCCAAAGAUUGACAUACAGAUUAAAGAUGCGAUUGGGCGGUACCACCAGUGUGCAACCAUCCAGCUGGAUUUCCAGUUGCCCAUCAGAUUUAAUCUUACUUAUGUAAGCCAUGAUGGUGAUGAUAAGAAAAGGCCAGUGAUUGUUCAUCGAGCCAUCUUGGGAUCAGUGGAAAGAAUGAUUGCUAUCCUCACAGAAAACUAUGGGGGCAAAUGGCCCUUUUGGCUGUCCCCUCGCCAGGUAAUGGUAGUUCCAGUGGGACCAACCUGUGAUGAAUAUGCCCAAAAGGUACGACAACAAUUCCACGAUGCCAAAUUCAUGGCAGACAUUGAUCUGGAUCCAGGCUGUACAUUGAAUAAAAAGAUUCGAAAUGCACAGUUAGCACAGUAUAACUUCAUUUUAGUUGUUGGUGAAAAAGAGAAAAUCAGUGGCACUGUUAAUAUCCGCACAAGAGACAAUAAGGUCCACGGGGAACGCACCAUUUCUGAAACUAUCGAGCGGCUACAGCAGCUCAAAGAGUUCCGCAGCAAACAGGCAGAAGAAGAAUUUUAAUGAAAAAAUUACCCAGAUUGGCUCCAUGGAAAAGGAGGAACAGCGUUUCCGUAAAAUUGACUUUGUACUCUGAAAACGUCAAUUUAUAUUGAACUUGGAGGAGUUUGGCAAAGUCUGAAUAGGUCAACCUGCAGGCGUAACUAUUUUUGACCUAGUCAGUUUUUAAACAAUGUGCAUUUGAAGGAGUUAAUUAAAAGAGAGCCAAUAAAAUGAUUUUACUCAUUCAGUAUCUGAGUACUGGAAGUGAAACAUGAGGAAUGCUUUAGUGUAAUGUGGGAGAACUUUUUUGUAAAUUUAAUGCAAUUGAAAAAGUUUUCAAAUUCAAUUAAGAUAACUAGAAUUGGAUUAUGGUGUAAAAAUAAAAAAAAAAUUUAUUCA